rnacentral:lncRNA from 1 species
UUUGCUCGCCUCCCAGCCCAGUCCAUGUGUCUGUAAGCCCACACCUGCUACAGGAAAUCUGUAACUCCCCUCUUCGUCAGCCUUUGCCCUCACCCUCAGCCUGGUAGACCUUCAUUUUCCUCCCCUCCAACCUCUUGACCAUAUUCGAUCCAAAGGCCCAAAUUUCAGUACACAGGUAGCUAAGACAAAGGUUAGAAAAAGCCCAGAAGGCACUUUAUUGGAGGUCUCUGCCUCCAUUCACAGGAGAAAGGAGCUGGGAGCCCCAUCCUAAGGGUCCCAGCAUCAGCCCACUGGAGGGCCUGGAACAGUCCAGCACUCUGUGGGAGAGGAGUGGGGAGGGGAAUGUUUUAGAAAAAAUAGAUCUCUAUGUACAUCUGACAUAUUUAUAUAGCACAUAAAUUAGGGAGUGCUCUGACCC